AACAAGGCCACACCUCCUAACAGCACCACUCCCUUGGCCAAGCAUAGUCAAACCACCACAGGUACAGUGACUCUCAUUUCUCUACUCUAUUCAGUCUUGGCUGCUUGUUACAAAGACUGUAGAGCAGAAACCAGCCAUGGCCCCAGGGGCUAAUCCAGAGAGCAUCGGAUCAGUCUUCAUCCUGAGUGGUUCUGCAGGGGAAACGGAUGCACGAGAGAUGAGCCUGUUGUCCGAUAGCUGAACCUGAGCACUAAUGUACCAGCCGAACUACUGCCGCUAAACCACCAUGAGCCUUGCUUGGGAUGAGCAAGGUCCCGAGAGCAUCCAAAUGUAUUGCAUUUUGUGAGAGUGACAUUCUUUCAUCAGCAGAGCUGCUAGAGUUCAGAUGAGGUAAGGGACUCGAUGUUUCAGGACUUGUGGAUACAUCCACCCUUUCCAGGUGAGAGCGUUAGGUACUGUUUAGCUGAGGACGAGGGUAGGGACUAGGGAGUGCUGUCAACUGUUCUUAAAUCCCCUGUUACUGUUUUAUUUGCUUCAUCGUUUCUCAGACGCUUUGUGUAGGCCGAUCCCCAAGCAGCGGAUAAAGAAAGUGAGCUACUCCACCCAGCCCUUUCAUUCUUAAGUCAUCUAUGUAGAGUCAGCAGAGGAACGUGACUUUUGAGAAGAUCUGCUUAAAUGCUCUGAGCCAUUGUAGGUGACAAAGUUAAAUACUUAGAGAUUAAUGGAAGUCUAUAAACAUGGGAGAGCUAUAAUUAACCAACUCAUUACAUAGGGGGGGUGUUUACCCAUCCGGUAUCAACUGCAAUCAGCUGAGGUCGACUCCAGGUAUUGCUCUCCUUAUUGCCAUAGGUUGAUUUUGUUAGAGCAAACAGCUUUCAACUGGGAAAGGAACUGUGUUCCAAGUUUACUUCUAAACUGAUUAGCUGGCAUUUAAGACACAUAUCCCAAACUUCCUUUACUAGCCUGAAAAAUGCCUGUUUUAUCCCAGGAUACUGUCAAAGGUUUUUAGUUUAGAUGAUUGGUUUUGGUUUUGUCUUUUGCUUUUACCGUUGGUUGGUUGGUUGGUGGGUUGGUUGGUUGGUGAUUUGGUUUUGGCUCUUUGCCUUUUACCUGCCUUUUACCUUAUAGUAAAACCAUCUGUCAAAGAAGGUCAGUGGAGUGGCCCCACGGGCAGAUGGAAAGAUGAGAGCAGAGCCCGCAGGGAAGGAGUGCAGUCUCGGGGUUUACUUCUCAGGGUCAUACUCAGCUAGGACACACAGAAAACAGCAUCCGAGAAGCAGGCCGGAUGGAUGAAGCGCUUCAAACCCUGUCGAUCCUUAGGUUGAACACUGGUCACUGUUACCUCAUCCCUGCCCCAGUUCAGAGCAGCACUUGAAGAUCUGCCGCCGUGGUACAAUGGUCUAGAAAAAUGUAACCUUCUGAUCCACCCACCGAGGGAAAGGGAGGAAGUGGGGUUAGGAGUUGCUCCUGGGAUUCUAUCCCUGAAUUGUCCCAGGGGAGGUGAUGCUUUCCAAAAACGUUAAGGAGCUUAUGUGAAAGUUUUUAAAUGCCGUAUCAGUAUGGAAGUGUGUGAUGAUUAACUUUUCAACUUGAUUGGGUAAAAUGAAAACCCUGGGCAUGGGCUGGUGAGAUGGCUCAGUGGGUAAGAGCACCCGACUGCUCUUCCGAAGGCCCUGAGUUCAAAUCCCAGCAACCACAUGGUGGCUCACAACCACCAUGAGAUCUGACUCCCUCUUCUGGAGUGUCUGAGGACAGCUACAGUGUACUUACAUAUAAUAAAAAUAAAGUAAAUUAAAAAAAGGAAGGAAGGAAGAAAGAAAAACCCUGGGCAUUAGUGUGUAGUGGGGAUUAUGGAAUUUUGGUUUCAUAGAAAACAUAGAAAUAUUGUAAGAAUAUGGUUUUGUUUUAAUCCCAGGUGUGGAAUAUGGGGCUGCUUCAGACUGUCCAUAGCAGCUAUGAUUUGCCUCGUGCAAAAACAAUGUAUUAUGAAGUUUAUAAAUGUAUAUGAAAAAAAAAGUCUGACCAUAAAGCAUAAAGACCAAGAGAUGAAAAUAUAAAAUCAAAAGAAGUAGAAAUUUGUUUCUUAUAAAAAGCCAAAAAAUGAAUAGAACUACAUACCUCUAUAAGUAUAGCAUGAAUGCAGCCUAGACAACAUAGAAGCAAAGGAGUAUGGAUCUGUUCCAAAUAAAGAGAUAGUUAUACACAUACAGAGAGAGAGAGAGAGAGAAAGAGAGAGAGAACAAGCUGGUUUUGGCUCCCAGGCUAUCUAUGAUGGAAAAUAUUGAUUGUCAGCCUGAAAAAGUGCCUAGAUUAUAAUAAGGUGUCCCCCAACCCCAAGUAUAUCUGUAAGAACAUUUCAGAGAAGAUUAAUUAGUGGGCAAAGAACUGGACUGGAUGUGGGGUGUACCAUCCCAUGGGCUGAGGCACAAAGAGAUUAAGAAGAAGAAAGUGAGAGCUGGAAAGAUGGCUCAGAGGUUAAGAGCACUGACUGAUCUUCCUGAAUGUCCUGAGCUCAAUUCCCAGCAACCGCAUAGUGGCUCUCAACCAUCUGUAAUGGGAUCUAAUGCCCUCUUCUGGUAUGUCUGAAGACAGCUACAGUGUACUCAUAUGCAUAAAAUAAAUAAAUAUUUUUUUACUUCAGCCUUUUAAAAAAACUUUUUAUUACAUAUUUUCUUAUUUACAUUUCAAAUGUUAUCCCCUUUCCUAUUUUCCCCUCCGAAAACCCCCUAUCCUCUCCCCCAUCCCCCUGCUCACCAACCCACCCACUCCCACUUCCUGGCCCUGGCACUCCCCUAUACCGAGGCAUAGAACCUUCACAGGACCAAGGGCCUCUCCUCCCACUGAUGACCGACUAGGCCAUCCUCUUAAAUAAAUCUUUAAAAGAAAAGGAAAAAAGUGGAGACAGGCCUUCUCUGUGUGCAUCCUGGCUGCUGUAAAGAGAUCUGUUCGGUUGAUACCCCUGACACCUCUGAGACAGUGAGCUAACACAGAUAUUCUACACUAGCAUGGUGCAGAGACACGACAUGGUUAUCAGUGUGAGCUUACCCGUUAGGUGCAUUGCAAAUGAGCGUGAAGGACAUUGAGCAAGGGUCUGAGUAAAUUUGAAGAGACCAGCGAAUGACAGAAAAAGACCUUUGCUGUUUUCUUCUAAACUACAUAUUCUUCUCAGGAAAUUAGUAUUUUAGAGAAACAUCAUAGGCCGGAUGGGUGAUUUAGUAAGCACGGGUGUUUGCAGCCAAGCCUGAUACCCAGGUUUGAGCCCCAGAAAACGCAUGAUAUCCUCCCACACAUUGUCCUCUGACCUUCACAUACACACACAUACCACAUGCACACCUCCAUUAAAUAGAUGUGAAUUUUAAAAAUUAAACUAAAUGAAUCGGGGAGUAAAUGCCUUUUAGAGAAAACUCUAUCAUCAAUAUUGUUGGGGGUAGAAUGUAUUUCACGCAGAAGACUAGAGAAGGUUGUCACACAGAGAAGAGAGAGCUUUACAGUACAGAGCUAAGUGAAUGUUCCAGGGAAGAGUUGAGAGAGAACGGGAGUCCUCCCCGGAAAGCAGUAGCAAAAGGUCAAGAGGACAACAGGAAGAGAAAGAAAAGGCGAGGGUGCCGACAUCCAGGACCUGCAGACAUGGAAAACCAGCUGGUGCUCAUGGGCCAGAUGGAAAGAGAAGGCUUGCAAGAAAUGACUCAGAGGGAAGACAGGCAUGUCCAAACAAGGAAGAAAAAAAAAAAAUGCAGGGAACGCCCGAAAACCAGUUCAAGGCAGAUCAUCAGGGAAUUUUCAAAAACCGAGAAAGUCUCAUAAACGUGGUUGUUUCUUAAAGAACGAUACAGGAGGUUUAUAGUUCUGUGAAGAAUGAAAGAGCUGGUGAUACAAAUUCACACUGAGCAAACCAAAGAGCAGCAAACUGAGGACACCUGGUCAGGUAGCACUGUCUGCUCCCUACCGGAGCAGAAACCAGUGCCUGGGGGAGGGUGUGUGUAAAGGUGCCUGGGAGAGUCUCACCUUUGCUUUUAGAAAGCUGCUAAUGGCCUAACGUGAAGGAAGAAGCGUUUAGAAAGCAGAAUGCCUUUGAGAAGUAUGGACAUAAAUCCUCCUCUGAAACCACACUGUGGGUUGAAAUCAUUGCUGUGUGGAAAUGGUGCCUAGUAGUGUCUUUGACUCUUAACUUAUGCAAAUGUACCGCUUGGAUACAAUGUUUUUGUUGUUGUUGUUUCUUUUUUUUUUUUUUUUUUUUCUUUUUUUAAAGAGAUCAAAUUUAUUUCACUCACUAACUACUGAACUGCUCUUAGUGGCUUCGCUUUCCUGGAAAGGGUGGCGUUGAUGGGGUGGUGACAUGGCUUCUGUCCGGCAAGUAUUGCUGUGUUUGGGUAGAAAAGAUAGGACGGAUGCAUAGCCCAGUGGGCUGCAGCUCCUCCAGAGGCCCAAAGACGCUUCCUGGCAGUGAACUCGGACUAUUCAGCGAGGUGCUGGGAUAUUAAUGAAAAGCCUGGAGGGGCCACAUGGGAGUUGUUAGUAGGAAGGUGCCAGAAGUUCAGAUGCAAAGGGAACUGUCUGCACCCAGGAGCCUGGGAUGAAUGUUGAAACUCUGCCUUUUAAACUGGGGACCUGACCACCUCUGUCUGUGAUGUAUUGGUGCCACAGGAGCCCACGGAAGUUAAGUUGUUCGAGUAGGUUCAGAAACCAUUCCCCUCCUCGUUUGCAACGGCAUCCCAAGGACCUAAUUAGUGCAGGGCCUGGCAUAGGAAAGGUGCCCAAUUAAUGCUGAAGUUAGCAACAAGUGGAAGUUCUGUAGCCACGUGCCAGGAAGCCAGUGUUGAGAACUAAAGACAGAGCCACUGGGCAACUGCUCUCUGUCUAAGCUUUGUCUCCUGCCCAGAAGUCAUCCUUGAUACUUGACAGUCGGCCAUUUAGUAGACCCUCUUAUGUGGGUCUCCCAGAUGUUUCCAGGGAGAUGCAUGGAAAUCUGCCUCCCCAUCUCAGAGGGAUCUGUGUACAUUUUUGAACUGCCUUUCCUGAAAUCUCCAGGGCCUCUCCACUGCUUCCAGCGGGAGCUCCAGCCCUUUGGUGGCCUAUGCAAAGUACCCUGAGAUCUCGAAACUGUUUCUGGUACGAGCGUCUCCUUCACCCUCUGUGGCCAAGCUCUCCAGCAGCAAAGAAGUACUGUGGUCCCUGCAGGUGACUUACAGUUCCUCCACUCUCAUCAGCAUGCCUCUCUAAGGACAAUUUUUUCCUCACCCUAGCCACACUCCUCUACCCAUUCACACUUAUCAGGAUCAGCACAGACCUGCAAGCAGCCUGGUGAACAGAAAGUGCCUCAGUGGAGAGGCCCGUGUCUCACUGGGGGCUAAAAUGGUCAUUGACGGCACUGAGGUAGGGUCCAAAGGAGUUUUCCUUGGUUUCUUAACUACUACGGUUUCAUCUGGAGGUAUGGGUUCUGACUACCCCAUUUCCAGAUGUAUAUUUCCAACCAUUUAUUCUUGCAUCUAUACCACAUUUUGCAGUUUCUUGGGAAAGAUAUCAUCACCUAAUGUAAGCACUGGGCCUGUGAUUCCCUCAUGCAAUCCUAAUAGUCUCCUGUUUGCAAAAUGAGAUUUACCAGCCACCCACUGCAGAUACUCUAGGUUUCCUAACGUGCCUUAUGCAAGUAGGGAGGACUUGAAAAGAAAAUGAACACCCCCGCCAGCAGAGGGCAGCAGGGAGCCUGGGCGCUGAGGACUGGCAGAGUCAGGCUUGGGUGUGUCUGAGAAAGGAUGCAGAUUAAAUUCCACUCCUAUCUUGCCAGGACUGGUACAGCCACAGGAGAUAGAUGGUGUAUGUGUAUAGACAUGCUGAAGCAGGGGACAGGGAGAGAAGUGUAAAUGCAUGCCUUUGAUGGUGGGAGAGGAAGAAGGAAUAUAUUCCAAUCUGUUUGACAGACAGAGAAAGGGUUUGGCUUUUUUGUUGUUUUGUUUUGUUGAGAUAGAGUCUUACUCUGUAGCCCGUGGUAACCUCAAAUCCAUGGUGACCCUCCCGAGCGCUGGAAUUACAGAUGUGAGCAAUCACAUCUGGCAAGGAAUUCAUGAAUUUUAAAACCUCACCAGUGCUCAGAUGUUCCCUGAUCGAUGGAAGAGAGCCCCCCCACACACACACACACACACACACACAGCUCAUGUUGGAGUUGGGAGACCUGAUUGUGUGGAAACAAAGACAAGACAGCAAGGUAGACGCCAUGCAGGAAGGCUCUGCCUCUUUCAAGACACUCUACCGGGCCUGCACGCUCCGGCUUCCUCCACCCUUCAGGUCUCGUCCCAAGCAGAAUUCCCUUGGUGCUCUCUGGCAUAGCCUUACUAUUUCAGGAACGAAGGAGGCAGCUUUUGAAAAAUAAGUACAUUAUCAUCUCACUUGAAACCUGUUCUAGGGGCUGAAGAGAUGGCUCAGCGGUUAAGAGCAUUGACUGCUCUUCCAGAGGUCCUGGGUUCAAUUCUCAGCAACCACAUGAUGGCUCACAACUAUCUAUAGGGGGAUCUGACGCCCUCUUCAGACAGGCGGAUGUAUAUGCAGCAAAGCACUCAUACAUUAAAUAAACAAAAUUU